AUGCGUAGGAGAAGGACAAAGGACUUGAGUGGGAACCAUCUGCAUCUAAUUUCAAACACCAGUCUGGCUGAGCUCAGAAUCUAUGGUAGGUUUAAAGCAGAAGAAAAUUUUGCUAGCUAUGCCAGAUGUGUCAUGGAAGCAGUGGUGAAUCUGAAGGACAUAAAACUAUAUAAGAAUCCAGUGUGUGAUAAUCGGAAGCACAAGGUUCCAAAGGAGUGCACACGCAAGCAGAAGUUGUCUCUUAGGAACAAAAUCACUGAGGGGAUGUCAUCUCUCGUCCGGAUUCACUUUCUAUAUACAAACUGGGAGAAUAAGAAUGUCACAGAGAAGAACAAUGCAUAG
rnacentral:rRNA from 1 species